UACGAAGGGGGCUAGCGUUGUUCGGAAUCAGCGUGGGCGUAAAGGGCGCGUAGGCGGCUUUAUAAGUCGGGGGGUGAAACGCCCUGUGGCUCAACCACAGAAUUGCCUUCGAUACUGUAGAGCUUGAGAACCGGAAAAGGUGAGUGGAAUUCCGAGUGUAGACGGUGAAAUUCGUAGAUACUCGGGAGGAACACCAGUGGCGAAGGCGGCGAUCGUGGGAAGAGUACUGACGCGUGAGGUGCGAAAGCGUGGGGAGCAAACAGGAUUAGCAUACCCC
rnacentral:rRNA from 1 species